UUCUUUUUACGCUGUUCCGUUUUGCUCCGCUCUUCUCAUCGCGCUUCCUUUGCUCUACGUCGGAUCUAGCCUCGCUUCUUCGAGCCAUCCUUAACCCUUCCAGUGGCGUACGGCUCGCGUGGUGCGUUUUAAGUCGAUGGAAUUUGUUCGCGUAUUUAGCGUAAGUUCGCAGUCACCGCGGUGGUAAGCGAUACUCGAAUCGGCCCUUUGACGCUUUGACGCUUUCAGCCUUCCAAGUCGGGAAAUCCUCCAAGAAUCCAGCCGCACGAUAAUUAUGUAAACGAGAGAAUACGUCGUAGCGAAAAUCUGUCACGGGUCGAACAACGCGUAUUACGAUACCGAGGGAUCUAAAUACAGCGGUGGAAUGCAAUGGAACGCGCACUGUCUAUUUUUAGCGGGGCGGAUUCGAAAAUACACCCACCGCGGAUUAAAUAUAACUGAAUAUGCACGCGCGUGGAAUGCAGUACGACGGCACGCGAACACGGCAUCGGGUCGCUCGCAAAUAUGCAAAUCCUCGUAUCGAAAGCGCGACGGUUGCUCCCUUUUAUCGCGGAUCUCCAUAUUUACCGUCCGCGUAUUUUCGUUUCGAUCUUAUUUUGAACUCUUCUCUUGUAAACCCAUCUAUGGAGAGUUGAAGGUGGUGGAAAGGACUUGGAAAUAGGCUCGAAACGAGGCAAUCCCGUUCUGUUUACGUUGUAAAAUGUCCGCCUGCGAAAGCUUGAGUUCGCAUUACCGCUGGUUGUGGGCAGACGGUACUGUUGCUCGCAUUGUUAUUAUUUCGCGACCUUCGGGGCUCCUGAUCCAGGCCAAUAAAUCAAGUCACGUCUCCUUUCCGUUGCGCUCUAUGGGAAACGGAAAUCGAGGACGGUUGGAAAAAGCGAGGUUCAAAUACCUUAAAUUAUUCUUCGGACAAAUUGGCCUGGUCCGUGGGAGGCGUAGGCAGAGAUUUAUGCGCGUGCAACAGUUCCAAAGGGGGGUUAACGAGAAAACAGGAAGACGGCGUCGUUGAACAAUCGAGCGAUACCCCGCCUAAUCGCCUCCUCGAUUCUUCGCGCUUGUUGCCCCCGUCUGCGGUUAGUCAAAUCUCGCAUCGAUUCGUAAGAUAACGGGUGAUGUCAACAACAAUGUGAAAAUUACAGAUCGAUAAAAUUGACCACUGUGCGUCGCUUGCAUGCCUCUCACGGCUCACGGCUGAUUCCAGGGGUCGUUAAACUAAUCUCUGUUUACGUUCUCGAUCCCGAGUAUUCCAACGAUGCAAUAAAACGAGAAUCGCCACACGUCAUCGGGUCACGAAACGAGAGGGGAAAUAAAGGCAACGAAGAUGAAAGGAAAAACGUGAAGGG